rnacentral:snoRNA from 1 species
CUGCAAGCCUCCAGCGUGCUUGGGUCUGGGGUGACCCUGUGCAUUCCUAUAGUGCUUGCUAGAACAUUUUGGAACGGUUUGAGGCCUUGCCCUGCUGCAUCCGGAGCAAGGUUAUUGAAAUUUCAGACAAUC